rnacentral:rRNA from 1 species
CCUACGGGCGGCUGCAGUGGGGAAUAUUGGACAAUGGGCGAAAGCCUGAUCCAGCCAUGCCGCGUGUGUGAAGAAGGCCUUCGGGUUGUAAAGCACUUUCAGUGGGGAAGAAAGCCUUGGGGCUAAUACCCUCGAGGAAGGACAUCACCCACAGAAGAAGCACCGGCUAACUCCGUGCCAGCAGCCGCGGUAAUACGGAGGGUGCGAGCGUUAAUCGGAAUUACUGGGCGUAAAGCGCGCGUAGGCGGUCUGAUAAGCCGGUUGUGAAAGCCCCGGGCUCAACCUGGGAACGGCAUCCGGAACUGUCAGGCUAGAGUGCAGGAGAGGAAGGUAGAAUUCCCGGUGUAGCGGUGAAAUGCGUAGAGAUCGGGAGGAAUACCAGUGGCGAAGGCGGCCUUCUGGACUGACACUGACGCUGAGGUGCGAAAGCGUGGGUAGCAAACAGGAUUAGAUACCCGAGUGGUC